CGAUCCUUUAGACCUUCGGAA
rnacentral:snRNA from 1 species